UCGCACCUACGGGACGCAGCAGUCGGGAAUAUUGCGCAAUGGAGGAAACUCUGACGCAGUGACGCCGCGUGCAGGAAGAAGGUUUUCGGAUUGUAAACUUCUUUAGACAGGGAAGAAACAAGACAGUACCUGUAGAAUAAGCUCCGGCUAACUACGUGCCAGCAGCCGCGGUAAUACGUAGGGAGCAAGCGUUAUCCGGAUUUAUUGGGUGUAAAGGGUGCGUAGCCGGGAAAACAAGUUAGUUGUGAAAUACGUCGGCUUAACUGAGGA
rnacentral:rRNA from 1 species